rnacentral:rRNA from 1 species
CAGCAGCCGCGGUAAUACGAAGGGUGCAAGCGUUAAUCGGAAUUACUGGGCGUAAAGCGUGCGUAGGCGGUGAGUUAAGUCUGUUGUGAAAUCCCCGGGCUCAACCUGGGAAUGGCAAUGGAUACUGGCAAGCUAGAGUGUGUCAGAGGACGGUGAAAUUCCCGGUGUAGCGGUGAAAUGCGUAGAGAUCGGGAGGAACAUCAGUGGCGAAGGCGGCCAUCUGGGACAACACUGACGCUGAGGCACGAAAGCGUGGGGAGCAAACAGGAUUAGAUACCCCCGUAGUCCCUGUCUCUUAUAC